AUAGUUAAGUGACUAAGCGUACACGGUGGAUGCCUUGGCAAUCAGAGGCGAAGAAGGACGUGCUAAUCUGCGAAAAGCUUGGAUGAGUUGAUAAGAAGCGUUUAAUCCAAGAUAUCCGAAUGGGGAAACCCAAUAGAUGAAGAAUCUAUUAUUGCUUGAUGAAUACAUAGUCAAGCAAGGCAAACCGGGAGAACUGAAACAUCUAAGUACCCCGAGGAAAAGAAAUCAACCGAGAUUCUGUAAGUAGCGGCGAGCGAAAGCGGAAGAGCCUGUUAGUGAUAGCGAGAGAGACAGAGGAAUUGACUGGGAAGUCAAGCGAUACAGGGUGAUAGCCCCGUACUCGAAGUCUGUUUUGUGGUACUGAGCUAACGAAAAGUAGGGCGGGACACGAGAAAUCCUGUUUGAAGAAGGGGGGACCAUCCUCCAAGGCUAAAUACUCCUGAUUGACCGAUAGUGAACCAGUACUGUGAAGGAAAGGCGAAAAGAACCCUGGUGAAGGGAGUGAAAUAGAACCUGAAACCGUGUACGUACAAGCAGUGGGAGCCUGAAAGGGUGACUGCGUACCUUUUGUAUAAUGGGUCAGCGACUUAUAUUAUGUAGCGAGGUUAACCGAAUAGGGGAGCCGAAGGGAAACCGAGUCUUAACUGGGCGAAUGAGUUGCAUGAUAUAGACCCGAAACCCGGUGAUCUAGCCAUGGGCAGGUUGAAGAUUGGGUAACACUAAUUGGAGGACCGAACCGACUAAUGUUGAAAAAUUAGCGGAUGACCUGUGGCUGGGGGUGAAAGGCCAAUCAAACCGGGAGAUAGCUGGUUCUCCCCGAAAUCUAUUUAGGUAGAGCCUUGAGCGGACACCUUCGGGGGUAGAGCACUGUUUCGGCUAGGGGGCCAUCCCGGCUUACCAACCCGAUGCAAACUGCGAAUACCGAAGAGUGAUACUCAGGAGACACACGGCGGGUGCUAACGUCCGUCGUGGAGAGGGAAACAACCCAGACCGCCAGCUAAGGUCCCAAAGUGCUCAUUAAGUGGGAAACGAAGUGGGAAGGCUUAGACAGCUAGGAUGUUGGCUUAGAAGCAGCCAUCAUUUAAAGAAAGCGUAAUAGCUCACUAGUCGAGUCGGCCUGCGCGGAAGAUGUAACGGGGCUAAAAUGAGUCACCGAAGCUGCGGCAUCAGUAGAGAUACUGUUGGGUAGGGGAGCGUUGUGUAAGCGGAAGAAGGUGAAUCGAGAGGUUUGCUGGACGUAUCACAAGUGCGAAUGCUGACAUAAGUAACGAUAAAACGAGUGAAAAACUCGUUCGCCGGAAGACCAAGGGUUCCUGUCCAACGUUAAUCGGGGCAGGGUGAGUCGGCCCCUAAGGCGAGGCUGAAAAGCGUAGUCGAUGGGAAACGGGUUAAUAUUCCCGUACUUGGUAUAACUGCGAUGUGGGGACGGAGAAGGUUAGGUUAUCAGACUGUUGGAUGUCUGUUUAAGCCGGUAGGUGGAGCAUUUAGGCAAAUCCGAAUGUUUAUAACACCGAGAAGUGAUGACGAGUCUCUACGGAGACGAAGUAACUGAUACCACGCUUCCAGGAAAAGCCACUAAGCAUAGGUUAUACUGAACCGUACUAUAAACCGACACAGGUGGUCAGGUAGAGAAUACUCAGGCGCUUGAGAGAACUCGGGUGAAGGAACUAGGCAAAAUAGCACCGUAACUUCGGGAGAAGGUGCGCCGGCGUAGAUUGUAGUCCCUUGCGGACGAAGGUUGAACCGGUCGAAGAUACCAGCUGGCUGCAACUGUUUAUUAAAAACACAGCACUCUGCAAACACGAAAGUGGACGUAUAGGGUGUGAUGCCUGCCCGGUGCUGGAAGGUUAAUUGAUGGUGUAAUCGCAAGAGAAGCUCCUGAUCGAAGCCCCAGUAAACGGCGGCCGUAACUAUAACGGUCCUAAGGUAGCGAAAUUCCUUGUCGGGUAAGUUCCGACCUGCACGAAUGGCAUAAUGAUGGCCAGGCUGUCUCCACCCGAGACUCAGUGAAAUUGAAAUCGCCGUGAAGAUGCGGUGUACCCGCGGCUAGACGGAAAGACCCCGUGAACCUUUACUAUAGCUUGACACUGAACCUUGAAUUUUGAUGUGUAGGAUAGGUGGGAGACUAUGAAGCGGUAACGCCAGUUAUCGUGGAGUCGUUGUUGAAAUACCACCCUUUAACGUUUGAUGUUCUAACGAAGAUUGCGGAACGCGGUCUCGGACAGUGUCUGGUGGGUAGUUUGACUGGGGCGGUCUCCUCCCAAAGAGUAACGGAGGAGCACGAAGGUUUGCUAAUGGCGGUCGGACAUCGCCAGGUUAGUGCAAUGGUAUAAGCAAGCUUAACUGCGAGACAGACAAGUCGAGCAGGUGCGAAAGCAGGUCAUAGUGAUCCGGUGGUUCUGAAUGGAAGGGCCAUCGCUCAACGGAUAAAAGGUACUCCGGGGAUAACAGGCUGAUACCGCCCAAGAGUUCAUAUCGACGGCGGUGUUUGGCACCUCGAUGUCGGCUCAUCACAUCCUGGGGCUGAAGUAGGUCCCAAGGGUAUGGCUGUUCGCCAUUUAAAGUGGUACGCGAGCUGGGUUUAGAACGUCGUGAGACAGUUCGGUCCCUAUCUGCCGUGGGCGUUGGAGAAUUGAAAGGGGCUGCUCCUAGUACGAGAGGACCGGAGUGGACGCAUCCCUGGUGUUCCAGUUGUUUCGCCAGAAGCAUUGCUGGGUAGCUACAUGCGGGAGAGAUAAGUGCUGAAAGCAUCUAAGCACGAAACUUGCCUUGAGAUGAGUUCUCCCCAACAAAAAGUUGGUAAGGGUUGUUUAAGACUAAGACGUAGAUAGGUCUGGUGUGUAAGUGGUGUGAGCCAUUGAGCUAACGGAUACUAAUUGCCCGAGAGGCUUAACUAU
rnacentral:rRNA from 1 species